rnacentral:rRNA from 1 species
UACAACACCAAAGGUGUUUUGAAUUUGAGAGAUAGAUAUUUUCAGCGAAGUUCCGAGAUUGGAUUGGCUGGCUACGUGAUUAAUACAUGUAGCGGGUUAGUUUAGACAGAAUUUGCCUGGCGGCCAUAGCGCGGUGGCACCACCUGAACCCAUGCCGAACUCAGAAGUGAAACGCCGUAGCGCCGAUGGUAGUGUGGGGUCUCCCCAUGCGAGAGUAGGACACUGCCAGGCAUCAAA